AACGGUCUCCUGUGUGUAAGGGCUCCCCGGUUCUCCAGGGAAGGUUCAGUCUCUUGAUUUGACUGCCUCUCUCUGCUUGCCUGCAGUCUUCUCCGCCUCCUACUGAUGGAGACCCCUUGCUUAGCAAGCUAGCAAGUAGCACAAAAAUGGCAGGAGAGGAUGCGUGAUGAGCGGCAUCUUACGACGUCACUGUUUCAGCACCGCGGACAGCAUGACGCCUGGACAGUUGUGUUGGCAACCCUGCAGCUCCAUCACCAUCCACAGAGGGGCAGUGCAGCAGUUUGCAGCCACUGUGGACCUGGGAGAGAAAAUGACAUAAAAGUGGGGAUAAAUCAGGAAAACCGGCACACAUGAAGAAGAGUCAGACCCAUUUAUGCUGUGAUUUUCUGGACACGACCGUCCCUGACACCGGAUAGAUGAGGCUAAUCUCAGCCGCAGGCAGACUGUCAGACAGCUUUGCUGAAGCUCUGGGUGUAAAAUGGCGCUUGGCUGCCCUG